rnacentral:rRNA from 1 species
UCAUCAUGCCCCUUAUGACCUGGGCUACACACGUGCUACAAUGGGCGGUACAAAGGGUCGCGAACCCGCGAGGGGGAGCCAAUCCCAAAAAGCCGCUCUCAGUUCGGAUUGCAGGCUGCAACUCGCCUGCAUGAAGCCGGAAUCGCUAGUAACCGCGGAUCAGCAUGCCGCGGUGAAUACGUUCCCGGGCCUU